UACGUAGGCAGCGAGCGUUGUUCGGAGUUACUGGGCGUAAAGAGUGCGUAGGCGGUGGCCCAAGUCUGGUGUGAAAUCUCCCGGCUCAACCGGGAGGGUGCGCCGGAAACUGGGUUGCUUGAGUACUGGAGAGGCAAGCGGAAUUCCAGGUGUAGCGGUGAAAUGCGUAGAUAUCUGGAGGAACACCGGUGGCGAAGGCGGCAUCCUGGACCGGUAUUGACGCUGAGGCGCGAAAGCCAGGGGAGCAAACGGG
rnacentral:rRNA from 1 species